AGUAGUUUCAGGAGAGAUCACCAGCAUUUUGUUGUAUCCUGUUGCUGUUACAGACCUACCAUCUAGUUCCAUGUGGAAGAGGACCACACAAGGAAUUUCCCAGCACAUCUUCCUUGCAGCUGGCUUCAAAAGAGAAAGCUCCUGGGAUUCCAGGUGCUUGGGUCCUCAGGUGUCUCUUCCCAGUUCUGCAAACCUUCCCUGGAGCAGCGAUGGUUUUGAAUCCUCGAUCAUCUCAAUUUCUCUCUUCCAGUUAAUGCAGUGCCAUCAGACAUAUUGCCCUGAAGAUCAAGUCCGGGUCAUUCCAUCAAUUCACUGCGGUUUACGAAGAUAGAGAAAAAAGCCAGGCUGUGUGGGCUAUCAACUUCAAAUGGCUUAGUAAACAUGCUUUGGCUGUUUUAACUGCUUCACUUCUGACUCUGGACCUUUGUGCUUCUGGACAAGACCACCCAAAUCAGCCCCGCUGGAUAUGGUAGAUGCAGCCCUGAAGCCAGGAGGCCUUGGGAGAGGAAGAAGCACAUCUGGAGAGUUCCCAGCCAGAGUGGUUGCAACAGGACUUGGAGGGAGGCUUGUAUCCAGCAUUGACUGAGGAUGCUACCUAAGUUCCAACAGUUUGUCUCACCAGCCAGAGAACUUGGCAGCUGGUGGGGGAAAAGGAAGAAGAGAGGCGUGUUCCUUUAGUAAUAGGUUUUGUAGCAGGGUUGGGAUUCCUAAUCCAAUCCAUCUUCUCUCUACAGGAGCUGCUGGUCAGUGAUAAUGGUUUCAAAAGAUGAAAACUCUGUAAGUCAUUUUUCAUGGGAUGAGGUGUCACCAAGGGCAGGACACACACAGAGAACAGCACACUUAUUGGAAGAGAUGAUCUCUCAGGAAGAGAAUGAACAUUUCUUGCCCCAGGGAGAGAGGGAAGGAGUGGAAGAGGUGGCAUUUGGUUAGAUUGCUGAUGUUUGCACAGAUAAAACACUAGAUGUCUCUUGAGAAUCCAGUGCAGUUAUUACAUUGGGUGCAAAGAAUCUUGAAUUAUUAUUAUAUUCCUUGUACUUAUGCAUGAUGUCAAAAUUUGAAAUCCUAUGCUCCAAAUUCUGGUGAUACAGUAUUUGCAGAAAAGUGACAGUGACUCUAAAUAUUAUUAAAAAGUGUAUUGUUUGCAAGGCCUUAAUAGAGUUUAAAUGCAGACUAUUGGCUUUGUCUUGUUCUAGGAAGCUGCCAUAUUCAGCAUUUAAAGUGAGAUUUGUCAGAUCCCAAGCUUAUGUCGAUUCUAUAAAAGUUUAAUGAUCUACUUCCAGGUCUAGCAACAUUUAGGAUUUAUUUACAAUCUUUAUUAUAAAAUUUGUCCAAAAUAUACACAUUCCUCAAAGGCUUCUGAGAUUAGUGGCAGAAAUAUAAAUGCACCAAGUGAAAUAUGGCAGAUGGUAAAAUCUGUUUGCUAGGCAUUUUUUGCUUUUUAAUCUUAUUUAUUUUUUCAUUUUGCUUUUCUUUUCUAUUUAGCAUAUACUGAAGGAGGAAAGAAAAGCCCUUCUGUUUCUAUGGAAUGUUUUAGGGGAAGCUGUUGAAGAGGUUGGUUACUAAAGGAAAAAUUCUUUCAUGUGUAGUCUUCUCCUCACCCUUCUGGGUAUUUAGCAAAUUUGGAGUUGGAAUCAGGAUAAGAAACUAGGAAUUGUGAAAUCAAGGAGUGUGUGGGAAGAAAGGUUGGAGAUCAUCUAAGACAAUUCUUUUAUUUUACAAAUGAGGAUGCAGCUACAUUCUACUGGAAAAUUACAGUUGAUUGGUUGCAUGUGGUCUUCUAAUUACAAAACUCCAACAAUUCAGAAUUCUCUGCAACUCAGCCUCUGUGCUGUAGAUGCAUCCUUGCCUCAAAAUUCCUUGACUUCCUCUAGCAUAGUACUAGUUACAUUCACUUUCAUGCUGCAAACACAGUGCCUUAUAACUUACCACCUGUUAGGUUGGUGGUUGUCAAAUGUUAAAGUGUCUCCAAGAGAGCUGAGAUGCUUGUGAGAAACAGACUCCUGCCUUUAAUUAUGAGAUUCUUCUGUGAGUCCAUAGAGGCUUUGUAGUCUGCAUUUGAAACAAGUAUCUCAGCUGAUUCACGAGUUCCAGAGUUCCCAUGGCUUAAAAUGCUGCUUUAUCACAUAAUUGCUUACAUGGUCUAGGCCAAGUGACCAGAAGGCUUUAAGCCACAGUUAACAUCUGUAAAACGGGCCUAUGCAUACCCGACUCAUAGGAUUGCUAUGGCAAUCUGUGAAGUUUAUGAAGAUUGCUUAGAAGGCAUUUCCUUAUGGCUCUAUGUCUACAGUUUAGGUUAACACAAAAAAGGCUAAUGAAAAUCUUAAUAUCUAAAAGCAAAUUGUAAAAACCUAAUCAAUAGAGUUUUCAGUAAAUAAGUGUUCCUUUGUGGAAUAAAAUAAUUCAUAAUUAUUAUAAAACAACAAUGUUCUCUUCCUCAAUGGAUCAGUGACUUUUUAAUAUAUAAGAACUUUAACAAAUGACACACUUAUAGGUUUGUUGGGUCCUAGUGGAGGGCUGGAAUGGGGGUACCUAACUUAUGAGUUCAGUCACAAGUCAUCCCUCUUUUUCUUUUUUUUUAUCCCUCUUUUUCUAUCCCCAGUUGUUUACACACUAAAGGAUUCCUCAAGCCCACACACUCACUGGGACCCCAUCCUCUUCCUUCUUGACAGUCCACAGAAAGGGUUCCCUUCAUCCCUUCCAGAGUUUCUUGGCUGUCUGCCAUUUGUGCAACCCAGUGAUAGGCAUAUAGUAUUUAAUGAUUAUGAACCAUAGUAAACACCCACUGCAGGCAUUUGGAUGAGAUGGAAAUCAUUGUGGGUGGAGUGGUUAGGGACAGCCUUUGGGGUGGUGGUGGGAGCUGAGGAUUCCUGAGACAUCCAGGCAGGAGAACCAGGAUUUUGCCCUCUGUUCAGAUAGCUAGGUUUGGGCAGAGAGCCCAUGCAGAGAAAAGAUUGCAAGGUGAGUUGGAGUUGGUCAGAAAAUGUGCUGCUGAACUGGAGGUAAAAAAGAGUUACUAUUAGAAAAGAACAUUUUCUAUAACAUAGGCAAAACCUUGAAGUCAUAGGCAUAGGCAAGGACUUUAUGAAGAUAAUUCCAAUUGCACAAGAAAUAGCAUCAAGAUUCAACAAAUGGGAUCUUAUCAAAUUAAAAUCCUUCCACACUCCAAAAGAAACAAACAGAAUGAAGAGACAAAUUACAGAAUGGGAAUUUUUUUUUU